UACGGAGGGUGCAAGCGUUGUCCGGAAUCACUGGGCGUAAAGGGCGCGUAGGCGGCUCAUGAAGGCUGUGGUGAAAGUCCGGGGCUCAACCUCGGAUCGGCCGUGGCGACUCGUGGGCUGGAGCACUGUAGAGGCGGGUGGAAUUCCGGGUGUAGCGGUGGAAUGCGUAGAGAUCCGGAAGAACACCAGUGGCGAAGGCGGCCCGCUGGGCAGUGGCUGACGCUGAGGCGCGUCAGCGUGGGGAGCAAACAGG
rnacentral:rRNA from 1 species